rnacentral:hammerhead_ribozyme from 1 species
ACACUGCUGAUGAGUCCCAAAACAGGACGAAACAACUGUCCAGUGC